GUGAGAAUGGAAUUGGAUGUGGUUGAUUUGUGUUGCUGUUGUGUUUUAUAAAGGUCCUCGUCGUUACUGCAGUGGAUGUGGUUGGUUUGUGUUGCUGUUGUGUUUUAUAAAGGUCCUCGUCGUUACUGCAGUGGAUGUGGUUGGUUUGUGUUGCUGUUGUGUUUUAUAAAGGUCCUCGUCGUUACUGCAGUGGAUGUGGUUGGUUUGUGUUGCUGUUGUGUUUUAUAAAGGUCCUCGUCGUUACUGCAGUGGAUGUGGUUGGUUUGUGUUGCUGUUGUGUUUUAUAAAGGUCCUCGUCGUUACUGCAGUGGAUGUGGUUGGUUUGUGUUGCUGUUGUGUUUUAUAAAGGUCCUCGUCGUUACUGCAGUGGAUGUGGUUGGUUUGUGUUGCUGUUGUGUUUUAUAAAGGUCCUCGUCGUUACUGCAGUGGAUGUGGUUGGUUUGUGUUGCUGUUGUGUUUUAUAAAGGUCAUCGUCGUUACUGCAGUG